UGGGGAAUAUUGGACAAUGGGCGAAAGCCUGAUCCAGCCAUGCCGCGUGUGUGAAGAAGGUCUUCGGAUUGUAAAGCACUUUAAGUUGGGAGGAAGGGCAUUAACCUAAUACGUUAGUGUUUUGACGUUACCGACAGAAUAAGCACCGGCUAACUCUGUGCCAGCAGCCGCGGUAAUACAGAGGGUGCAAGCGUUAAUCGGAAUUACUGGGCGUAAAGCGCGCGUAGGUGGUUUGUUAAGUUGGAUGUGAAAGCCCCGGGCUCAACCUGGGAACUGCAUUCAAAACUGACUGACUAGAGUAUGGUAGAGGGUGGUGGAAUUUCCUGUGUAGCGGUGAAAUGCGUAGAUAUAGGAAGGAACACCAGUGGCGAAGGCGACCACCUGGACUAAUACUGACACUGAGGUGCGAAAGCGUGGGGAGCAAACA
rnacentral:rRNA from 1 species